CUCCGGUUGAUCCCGCCGGACCUGACUGCUAUCGGAUUGGUACUAAGCCAUGCGAGUCGUUGUAGCAAUACAAGGCGGACGGCUCAGUAACACGUAGUCAACCUAACCUAUGGACGUGGAUAACCUCGGGAAACUGAGAAUAAACCGCGAUAGAUCAUUAUGCCUGGAAUGGCUUAUGGUUCAAACAAUUUAUUGCCGUAGGAUGGGACUGCGGCCUAUCAGCUUGUUGGUGAGGUAAUGGCCCACCAAGGCUAUAACAGGUACGGGCUCUGAGAGGAGAAGCCCGGAGAUGGGUACUGAGACACGGACCCAGGCCCUAUGGGGCGCAGCAGGCGAGAAACCUUAGCAAUGUGCGAAAGCACGACUAGGUUAAUCCGAGUGAUUUCUGUUGAAGAAAUCUUUUGUCAGUCGUAAAACCACAGACGAAUAAGGGGUGGGCAAGUCUGGUGUCAGCCGCCGCGGUAAUACCAGCACCUCGAGUGGUCAGGAGGUUUAUUGGGCCUAAAGCAUCCGUAGCCGGCUACGCAAGUCUCCGGUUAAAUCCAGCUGCUCAACAGAUGGGCUGCCGGAGAUACUACAUAGCUAGGGAGCGGGAGAGGUAGACGGUAUUCUGUGGGUAGGGGUAAAAUCCACUGAUCCAUAGAGGACCACCAGUGGCGAAGGCGGUCUACCAGAACGCGUUCGACGGUGAGGGAUGAAAGCUGGGGGAGCAAACCGGAUUAGAUACCCGGGUAGUCCCAGCUGUAAACGAUGCAAACUCGGUGAUGCAUUGGCUUAUGGCCAAUGCAGUGCCGCAGGGAAGCCGUUAAGUUUGCCGCCUGGGAAGUACGGACGCAAGUCUGAAACUUAAAGGAAUUGGCGGGGGAGCA
rnacentral:rRNA from 1 species